rnacentral:rRNA from 1 species
AAAGAUUAAGCCAUGCAUGUCUAAGUAUAAGCAAUUAUACAGCGAAACUGCGAAUGGCUCAUUAUAUAAGUUAUCGUUUAUUUGAUAGUACCUUACUACUUGGAUAACCGUGGUAAUUCUAGAGCUAAUACAUGCUAAAAAUCCCGACUUCGGAAGGGAUGUAUUUAUUAGAUACAAAACCAAUGCCCCUCGGGGCUCUCUGGUGAUUCAUGAUAACUCGUCGAAUCGCACGGCCUUGCGCCGGCGAUGGUUCAUUCAAAUUUCUUCCCUAUCAACUUUCGAUGUUUGGGUAUUGGCCAAACAUGGUUG